rnacentral:rRNA from 1 species
AUUGAACGCUGGCGGCAGGCCUAACACAUGCAAGUCGAGCGGAUGAAGGGAGCUUGCUCCUGGAUUCAGCGGCGGACGGGUGAGUAAUGCCUAGGAAUCUGCCUGGUAGUGGGGGAUAACGUCCGGAAACGGGCGCUAAUACCGCAUACGUCCUGAGGGAGAAAGUGGGGGAUCUUCGGACCUCACGCUAUCAGAUGAGCCUAGGUCGGAUUAGCUAGUUGGUGGGGUAAAGGCCUACCAAGGCGACGAUCCGUAACUGGUCUGAGAGGAUGAUCAGUCACACUGGAACUGAGACACGGUCCAGACUCCUACGGGAGGCAGCAGUGGGGAAUAUUGGACAAUGGGCGAAAGCCUGAUCCAGCCAUGCCGCGUGUGUGAAGAAGGUCUUCGGAUUGUAAAGCACUUUAAGUUGGGAAGAAGGGCAGUAAGUUAAAACCUGGCUGUUUUGACGUUACCAACAGAAUAAGCACCGGCUAACUUCGUG